GUUCUACGAGCCCAUUCACUGCAAAUGACACCAACAGGCAAUAUUGCUUAAAUGAAAUUGUAACAUGCAUUCAAUAAAGCAACACACAAAAAUCUAAACUGGUGUCAUUAAAGAACAGAACAGCUGAAAGUCGGCCUUCAACAGAGAAGAUGCAUCUCAGUGAUACAGGCUGAUUAAAUCUAUUCAGCGCGCAGAUGAAAUUUUCACAGCCACACUGUGUCCUGACUGAAAAGCUUCUGUCUGCAUUCAUCAGUCAUUGUGUGAAAACCAAAUACAAAGUGUCCCAGAAGGACUCCCAGCAGAAUGGGUCUGAUUCUGAGGAUUGAACGCACUUUGUGAGGUUUGGGUUAUAACUCGUAGUUUGCAGCGUGAGUGGUUUUGCAGCCUUGUUACACCAAGAUGAUGUGAUGGAUGCAGUGAAAUGUGGAAUGAGCACAUGGUCCCAGACAUAAGAGAGAAAAUGAAAUUAAUAAGCAAGGAUGGAGCUGGAGAUUUGCCCUUCACCUCUGACCUUGAUCAUUUACUGAUCCAAAGUUAAAUCAAAUCAUUUCUUCCACUCUGUACACCCAGUGCACCUGCCACAUUUGAACAAAGUAAGAUCAAGCAUUCUUGAGACCAAGCUGAUCCAAAGAGCUUCAGCAGAAUGAAGCAGUUCCAAAGCCCCACUUCAUGCAGCGUGUCGAGCUGGUCAAUGCUCCUGCAAAACCCAGACUCAUGCAUGUUGUGCACAAAAAGCUGCCCCCUGGAGGAGAGGAUUGUGGGAAAACAGUGUUGAGUAAUUGAAGCAUCUCUGCUGCUGUUACUGUCAGAAAAAUCACAUGAAAUACAAAACGUAAUCCUCCAGGCUCCAUCUGUGACAUCACCAUCUUUUAUUGUUUCUUUUAAUGCUGGUGUAUAAUUCUAGAAUACAAUAAAAUGAAAGAGAACACCACCUUCCUGUGUUGUCUGUGAAAUAAAACUAUCAAACCAACAAGGAAAGAAUAUGCUGUAGUAUUUUUGCACUGGGUCAUGAUCAGCCAGGAUUAUUUAAAGUAUUUUGAAAAUAAAU